ensembl:lncRNA novel transcript
AGUCCCGGCUCAGCGUCUGCCCCGGAGAGGCUGCAAGGCAAGAGGAGCAGCGGCGUUAAUCUGCUGAGGGCUGAGAGAAACGUGAGCGUUACCCUGGGCUGGCCCCUUGGCUGCUCUCCCUUACUACGGAGCUGGAAGGUGGCCCCUGACUUCUUUGCAAAGGCCGUAGGCAAGCACCCAAAGCAUAUCAUCAGGUGCCCACAAGGCACAGGACACCGGGCCGACACCUGGAGCUGGGGUGAGGUGAGAGCUGCAGAGGCGGGGGCAAGAGGCCUCCUUCAUGCCAGGCCUGGACCAUGAAGAGGAAACCACUUUCUGUCCCCAAGGAGCUCAAGUCUGAUGGGGAAGGAGCCACUGGAGUGGACGGAGUCAGGGCCUGGGAUGCCAACCACAGGACCCAGCUCUGUCAGCGAAGCAGAAAGGUUGUGCCUGGUCUCCCUGCGUCCCAGGCCAAUCCCUCCUCCUGGGUGUGUGAUCUUUGCCUGCUGAAUCCUGUCUUCCAGUUAGCCCGCGAGCUCAGGGAGUCUUCUCUGCAUGUACAGUUAUCUACUCUGUGGGGCAGGACUGUGUGGAAGGGAAACGGAGGCUGCGUGGGAGCCUGGAAGAGGAGGGUGGCACCUAGGCUAUUCCCUCUGCCAGGGAAUUCCUUCGCCCUCGUUCAGAAAACAUCUACCCAUUCGGUAAGAUCAGCUGCCACUCUGUGGUCCCAUCACACUUGGCUCAGCACUCUGCUGAGUCUGUUUACUUCUCUCUGGACCAGGGGUGGCUCAUGGACAGGGACUCCCAGCACUGAGCACCCAGCAGGGGCAGAGAGGUGUCUGCUGGCUGAGUGAAUGACCCUGACCAAAUGGGAAGAGAGACGCCUUCCUGGCCUGGGGGCACUGAGAUGCUGAAGCCUGGCCGCGUGGGGGUCGUCAUCAGCUGAGUCUGCGGUCCCCUGUGGUCACACAGGACCAGGUCCUCCUAGACUCCACAGCCCCCGGCCCAGGGAUGAGGAAGGUGCUGCUCGGCCCACCAUGGGCCACAGCCUUCCUGCUCAGCUCAGCCUCGGUGAUGAAUAACGCUGCCCCUGCUGUGCCACUUCCGGGCUCUCUGGGCUCCCACACUCUGCUGUGGAGGCCCAGGCUGGCUC